rnacentral:rRNA from 1 species
GAUGAACGCUAGCUACAGGCUUAACACAUGCAAGUCGAGGGGAAACGACAUCGAAAGCUUGCUUUUGAUGGGCGUCGACCGGCGCACGGGUGAGUAACGCGUAUCCAACCUGCCCACCACUUGGGGAUAACCUUGCGAAAGUAAGACUAAUACCCAAUGAUAUCCCACGAAGGCAUCCGAAUGGGAUUAAAGAUUUAUCGGUGAUGGAUGGGGAUGCGUCUGAUUAGCUUGUUGGCGGGGUAACGGCCCACCAAGGCAACGAUGCGUAGGGGUUCUGAGAGGAAGGUCCCCCACACUGGUACUGAGACACGGAUCAGACUCCUACGGGAGGCAGCAGUGAGGAAUAUUGGGUCAAUGGGCGCAGGCCUGAACCAGCCAAGUCGCGUGAGGGAAGACGGGUCCUACGGAUUGUAAACCUCUUUGUCGGGGAGUAACGUGCGGGACGGGUCCCGUAUUGAGAGUACCCGAGAAAAAGCAUCGGCUAACUCCGUG